CAAUAGCGUAUAUUAAAGUUGUUGCGGUUAAAAAGCUCGUAGUUGGAUUUCUGCUGAGAACGACCGGUCCGCCCUUUGGGUGUGUAUCUGGCUCUUUCUUGGCAUCUUCUUGGUGAACGUUGCUGCACUUGACUGUGUGGAGCGCUACCCAGGACUUUUACUUUGAGGAAAUUAGAGUGUUUCAAGCAGGCAUACGCCUUGAAUACAUUAGCAUGGAAUAAUAAGAUAGGACCUCGGUUCUAUUUUGUUGGUUUCUAGAGCUGAGGUAAUGAUUAAUAGGGAUAGUUGGGGGCAUUCGUAUUUAACUGUCAGAGGUGAAAUUCUUGGAUUUAUGAAAGACGAACUACUGCGAAAGCAUUUGCCAAGGAUGUUUUCAUUAA
rnacentral:rRNA from 1 species